rnacentral:lncRNA from 1 species
UUCCUUCUCCAGGUGUCUUAUUAGUUCUUCUUCUGUGUAUCAGCCAAGCUGACUCACCACUAUAACACUCAAGCUAAACUUUUGAGAAGAAUGAAGCAUAUAGAGCAAGAGCAUAGAGAGUUGAAGGAUGAGAUCGCCCGACUUACGGUGCCGAUGGAGUUUGUCACAACUGCUAAAACCAACAGUCUUCGUCUCCUACAACUCAUCCUCCUUAGAGGACUGUCAUUUUCGAG